UCUCUCUCGAUCUGUUGCUCUCUCUCAUCAGAAAAAACCCCAAAAUCACCGUUCUCUCUCUCAAUCUCUCACUCUCUCUCAUCAGAACCCCCCAAACCCCCGUUCUUUCUCCCCCUCUCUCCCGAUCUAUUGCUCUCUCUCAUUAGAAAACCAGCCCCAAACCCCUUGCGCCUUCUCUGAGUUCGCCGCCACCGUCGGAGUUCGCUGCCGCCAUCGAGCCCUGAAGUUCGCCGCCGUCGAUCUGCAGUUUGCCGCCGAAUCCCCAUAAAAAACCCUAGUUCUUCCUCCCCAAAUCGGACUCGCCACCUGUCCUCCUCCUCAUUUUCGCCGGCACCUGACUUUUCUUCGUAUCGAAUGGUUUCCCAUGUCCGCCCCUGACGAACUCUUCUGAUCAUUACCUCAAGACAAUUAACAAGGAUUUUGACAAGGUUCGUAACAUUUUUUUCUUUCAAUUUUUGAUAAAGUUCAUGGUUCUUGAAGAAGCUGGUCAUUAAUUACUUCUAUGCAUUUCUCGGGAGCAAUUGUCGAGCUGGCUCAGCGAAUAUGAGUGUGCCUCAUAUGAACAUUAUUCGUGUCAGAAUGACAUACAUGGUUUAAUUCAGGCUAAGGUUUAUAUUCAGAUGAUGUAUUCUUUUAGUAGUAGUUUUAGUGCUUGACUACUUGUUAUAUACUGUUCUUUGGUAUGUUUCUAUCGGCAGAAAAUUUGAAUGUUGGAUGUAGAAAUUCAUGUCCAACAUUAUGGUCAAUAAUUUGAUUCAUAUGAGAUUCAUUAUGAGUUCCAGGUUUCUGUGCUGAUGGCAUCAUUGCAAAUAUGACAGAUUCUUCAGCUUCCAAUUUGUUCGUGUUGUCGAAUUUUGAUAAUUUGAGCAAGAACGUUUUUAUUUUAUGUUCUCAAUGUCAUUACUUUCUGGUUCAAGGUUAAAUAAUAGCAGCAAUUGUAGUGCAAAAAGACUUCAUGAGAUUAAUCUUAUUUGCAGUGACAGAACUUGACAAUGGGAGCUAGAAGAUAUCUUUUACAUGGUUAAAUUAUGGAAUUACUACGGAGAAAUUUGUUAUUCUUCCUUGUAAAUUUCACUUGUGGCUAAUUUCAGCAAUCUUUAAAAAUUUAACGAAGUGAUGGCUCCAUUUUGUAUCUGAUUUUGUUUGUAGUUUGUACAAAUUAUCUCAAGACCUGAGACUGAUUGAAUGUGAAUGAUGUUGCUUGACUUUA